rnacentral:rRNA from 1 species
AAAGCUCUGUUGUAAGUCAAGAACGGGUGUGAGAGUGGAAAGUUCACACUGUGACGGUAGCUUACCAGAAAGGGACGGCUAACUACGUGCCAGCAGCCGCGGUAAUACGUAGGUCCCGAGCGUUGUCCGGAUUUAUUGGGCGUAAAGCGAGCGCAGGCGGUUUGAUAAGUCUGAAGUUAAAGGCUGUGGCUCAACCAUAGUUCGCUUUGGAAACUGUCAAACUUGAGUGCAGAAGGGGAGAGUGGAAUUCCAUGUGUAGCGGUGAAAUGCGUAGAUAUAUGGAGGAACACCGGUGGCGAAAGCGGCUCUCUGGUCUGUAACUGACGCUGAGGCUCGAAAGCGUGGGGAGCGAACAGGAUUAGAUACCCUGGUAGUCCACGCCGUAAACGAUGAGUGCUAGGUGUUGGAUCCUUUCCGGGAUUCAGUGCCGCAGCUAACGCAUUAAGCACUCCGCCUGGGGAGUACGACCGCAAGGUUGAAACUCAAAGGAAUUGACGGGGGCCCGCACAAGCGGUGGAGCAUGUGGUUUAAUUCGAAGCAACGCGAAGAACCUUACCAGGUCUUGACAUCCCGAUGCUAUUUCUAGAGAUAGAAAGUUACUUCGGUACAUCGGUGACAGGUGGUGCAUGGUUGUCGUCAGCUCGUGUCGUGAGAUGUUGGGUUAAGUCCCGCAACGAGCGCAACCCCUAUUGUUAGUUGCCAUCAUUCAGUUGGGCACUCUAGCGAGACUGCCGGUAAUAAACCGGAGGAAGGUGGGGAUGACGUCAAAUCAUCAUGCCCCUUAUGACCUGGGCUACACACGUGCUACAAUGGUUGGUACAACGAGUUGCGAGUCGGUGACGGCGAGCUAAUCUCUUAAAGCCAAUCUCAGUUCGGAUUGUAGGCUGCAACUCGCCUACAUGAAGUCGGAAUCGCUAGUAAUCGCGGAUCAGCACGCCGCGGUGAAUACGUUCCCGGGCCUUGUACACACCGCCCGUCACACCACGAGAGUUUGUAACACCCGAAGUCGGUGAGGUAACCUUUUGGAGCCAGCCGCCUAAGGUGGGACAGAUGAUUGGGGUG